GACAAAGUCAACAAAUAUUUACAAGCAGCGGAAUAGUUUUUGAAAUAAAAAUCCAAAGUAUUCAAACAUCAAAAUACAUUGGGGCUAUGAGGCCUAUCAGACAUAGCUAAUACCCCUGGGGUAUUCUCGGCAGACCUGUACAAAAGCACUGCCCCAAGAAUUUUAACUUUCCCCACAUCACAUUAAAAAGUGGAACAUGGACCCAUCAAAAGAAAAGACAUCAAACAGUUUAAUACAAUCUUCCAAAAUGAAAUAAAUACAAUCACAAAAGAAAGACAUCUAGUCCUUAUACAACCACCUAAUCUGAUCAUGCUACAAACACUAUACAAUUCGGGUGAUCUCCACGCGCCCUGCAAGAUCCUCCUGACAUAGCUUCGGUCAAGUAUGUCUAACUACAUGCCUGUCUCCAAAGUACUAACCGGUAGGAUGAUCCUGGUUCUCAUCUGAGGGCAAAGCCCAAAUUUCCACAAUAAUUGUAAAGGGUCACCAACCGAAAUUAACAAAUAACACUUAGCAAAAUUCUUAUAUUUUCAAAUGCUCAAAAGAACCUUUCGUCUUAGCAUACUCCUCAAAAGGGUUUUCAUAUGUCCAAAAAUGCAUAAACAAUGUUGAAAAAUAAAGUUUUGACAAACUGCACUGUCAUAGCCGAAUCCAACUGAGAAAAUGCAGAUUUUCAAUUCUAAAAUGGCUCUAAAUCAAUCAACACUUCAAACAUUAAUGUUAUCAAUUAUGAACACAUAAUUAACACCAAAUUAAUCUCCACAAAUUCACACCUCAAUCACACAUCGAAUAUUCAUUAAAUCAAUUAUGAACACAUAAUUACAUCAAAACUUAAUCAACCCGCGUGCCAAACACUCUAAUGCAAUUCGUAUAUGCCAAAAUGCAUUAUUCCGGAAUUCCAAACCAAAACCCUCCCCGAAUAGCGUAAAUCAUAAUUGUACAGCCUCUCACAAACCAAUACUAAUUACCAAAGUGCAAUCUCUCACAAAUUAGCACGAUUUACUAGCGUGCAGUCGCUCACAGACUAGCACGACAUACAAUAGUGCACUCGCUCACAGACCAGCACAAUUUACUAGCGUGCAAUCUCUCACUGACCAGCACGACAUACAAGAGUGCAGUCGCUCACAGACCAGCACGAUUUUCUAGAGUGCAAUCGCUCACAGAUCAGCACAUUCUAGAGUGCAAUCUCUCACAGACCAGCAUGAUUUACUAGCGUCCAGUCGCUCAAAGACCAGCACGAAAUACAAGAGUGCAGUCUCUCACAUACCAGCACGACUUUCUAGAGUGCAAUCGCUCACAGAUCAGCACAUUAUAGAGUGCAAUCUCUCACAGAUCAGCACGAUGCGACAAUCCCUGCAAGGAUAAGAUGAACCAACAAUUCACAUGGCAUCAUCUCGUGGCCCAUCACAGUCACCACUAUCACCAUGGCCCCAUCGCGGUUACCAUGUACUAUGAAAUGCAUGAGCAUACUCUUACUCUUUUCACCACAAUCAUUAAGUAAAUGCAGCUAUUAAAAGAUUCCCCCUUUUUUAAUACUCAUUUAACACUAAUGAUUUUUCAAAUUCACCACAGAGCAUACUCAAACACAUCAAAUUCUAUCUCCACGAUUUCACACCAAAUUUACUCAUAAAUCGCCCAUUUUCGAAACUCCACAUUUUCACACAUAACCCACCAAAUUCAUUUUCCAUAAACCCACAUAAAUCACAUCUCCAAAAAUUCAUAAUAAUCAUUAUGAACACAUAAAUCACACCAACCGUAAAUCACCACAACCCACACGUCAAACACACAUCAAACAUUCAUAAUAUCAAUUAUGAACACAUAAUCAAAUUAAAUUUAAUUCUACCCAAAUUCAACAUAAAUCACCCAUAUUAAUCUCCAAAUUUUUCAAACAUUAACCACCAAAUUUAUUCUCCACAAAUUUCACCCAUAAAUCACCAAAUUCAAAACUCCACAUCUUCAAACAUUAAUCAUCAAAUUCAAUCUCCAAAAUUUUCAACUAUAAAUCACCACAACAACAUUAAUAUAUCAGAGUUCUCCCCACCGCUAACUCGGUGCCAAUGGUCUCGAUUCCUUUUCGAGACUCAAUGAGCUAACUACAUAAACAUAAAUAUUUAUAACAAUUUGUUCACAAUAAAAUUAAUCCAAACACAACAAAAUUCCCAAAAUUAAAAUUAAUCUCCAAUUUUUCAAACAUUAACCACCAAAUUUAUUCUCCACAAAUUUCACCCAUAAAUCACCAAAUUCAAAACUCCACAUCUUCAAACAUUAAUCAUCAAAUUCAAUCUCCAAAAUUUUCAACCAUAAAUCAUAUUAUUCAAUCUCCAAAAUUUUCAACCAUAAAUCACCACAACAACAUUAAUAUAUAAGAGUUCUCCCCACCGCUAACUCGGUGCCAACGGUCUCGAUUCCUUUUCGAGACUCAAGGAGCUAACUACAUAAUCAUAAAUAUUUAUAACAAUUUGUUAACAAUAAAAGUAAUCCAAACACAACAAAAUUCCCAAAAUUAAAUCUUUCUCACACACCAAACUUUUAAAACCAAAUAAUCUAUAUUAUUUAGUUAAAACUAAAUAAAACAAAUAUUGUUCAAAUUUCACAUACACACACGACUAUUAAAGCACCAAAAAAUUUGAGUUAAUAAAAUACUCUAAUAUUUUUUUCUUUUUAAACUCAGUUCAAGAGUAAUUAAAAUAGUAACAUUUUAAACUCUAACCCUUUUUAAUUUCAAUCUAUCUUUUUACUCAAACUCUUUAACUUAGUUAAAAUUUGAAUUUUUUUUUUCACAACUUUAACAACUCUAAAUUUUUUGUAAAAUUUCAGCUUCAAUUCAAACUCAUUUAUUUGAAAACAACUCAUUACGCAACUCAAACACAUAAAAUUUAAUUAAUUCAAUAUCCACAAAAUCCACACCUAAAUCACAUCUCAAAAAUUCAUAAUAUUAAUUAUGAACAUACAAUUUACACCCAACAUUAAUCACUACAAAACACACCUCAAAACAAAUCAAAUUCAAAUUCAACUAAUUCUCACAUAAACAAAUUAAAUUCAUUUUCCAUAAUUUUACACCUCAAAUACAUCAAAUUUCUAUUCCACGAAAUCAAAAAUAAUGUCCUAAAUGAAAACUAAAAGUUUGUAAGGAACUCUUACCUCCGUUGUAGCUUUAACAAGCGAUUAAGUCACCGCAAUUAAUUCCGGUAAAAUUUAAGUUCGUGACGUCGCGUCGAAAACUAGCUCACUAGCACCGCAGCGUGGCAAUGAGCAACUUUCUCUUUUGUCACUUCUCGAAACGAAGUUUAGAUCUAGGAGAAAAGUAAAGGUUUUUAGUGUUUGUGGGUUUUGAAAACAAAGAAAAUUUAGAAACAUAGAAGGAGGAAGAAAAGAAAUCUCGCGAGGCUGAGAAAC
rnacentral:lncRNA from 1 species